UCAUAUCACAUUGAAGCACCAGUUCUUAUCCGAUCACUGAAGUUAAGCAACAUCGAGCCUGGUCAGUACCUAGAUGGGUGACUGGUUGGGAAUACCAGGUGCUGUAA
rnacentral:rRNA from 1 species